UCUGCCUCUUCCACCUGCUGCUGCUCCCAGGCCUGCUGGGGGGAGAGCGGAGCCGGCCCUGGAGCGAGCUGCUGGCCCGAAGCCUCUUUGCCUGCGGGGUCUCCACGGGGCUGCAGACCAGCCUGGGCAGCAGGAACAGAGGGGCCUGUGGGGUGUGCCGAGCAAGACUGCCUGGCCCCGGGCAGCUGGAGUCAGUCCCUCCGAGAGGUCUCUGGCGCCGUGCUGGUCUCGGGG